rnacentral:misc_RNA from 1 species
UACGUAGGGGGCGAGCGUUGUCCGGAAUUACUGGGCGUAAAGGGCAAGUAGGCGGGAAGGUAAGUCUGAUGUGAAAGACCCCGGCUCAACCGGAGAAACGCAUUGGAUACUGCCUUUCUUGAGUGGAUGAGAAGAGAGUGGAACUGCCGGUGUAGCGGUGAAAUGCGUAGAUAUCGGUAGGAACAUCGAUGGCGAAAGCAGCUCUCUAGCAUCUUACUGACGCUCAACUGCGAAAGCGUGGGGAGCAAACGGG